GAAGCUGAAAUUUGGCAAUAAUGUUCCUAGGGAUGUUAUCUGUUAAUUGAGUGGACAAGAAAGAGCAAGAGAUUCACAUGGAGCACUUCUGGAUCACUGGGUUAAUUGCUUUGGUGUUUUCAAGUUUGGUGUCAUCGGAGCAGAAUUAUAUCAUAGAAACACCAGACUGCAGGACAUGUAUUUGGUCUUGGAAUACAGCAGCGCACGCUCGAUUUUCUGGCUUCGUUGGGACGAACUAGAGUAUGAAACUUGAUGCAUGACGCCCACUUCUUGUGCUACAAGAUCUCUUUGCGAGUGGCUUAAAUUCACUCUCGUCACCCUCCUCACUCUCAUCACGCUCUCCAAGAGUUGAAAGAUGACCUGCUAGAUGA